rnacentral:rRNA from 1 species
GACGAACGCUGGCGGCGUGCCUAAUACAUGCAAGUAGAACGCUGAAGGAGGAGCUUGCUCUUCUGGAUGAGUUGCGAACGGGUGAGUAACGCGUAGGUAACCUGCCUGGUAGCGGGGGAUAACUAUUGGAAACGAUAGCUAAUACCGCAUAACAGUAGAUGUUGCAUGACAUUUACUUAAAAGGUGCAAUUGCAUCACUACCAGAUGGACCUGCGUUGUAUUAGCUAGUUGGUGGGGUAACGGCUCACCAAGGCGACGAUACAUAGCCGACCUGAGAGGGGGAUCGGCCACGCUGGGACGGGAACACGACCCAGACCCCUACGAGAGGCAGCAGUAGGGGAUCUUUGGCAAAAGACGGAAGGCUGACCGAGCAACGCCGCGUGGGUGAAGAAGGUUUUCGGAUCGUGAAGCUCUGUUGUAAGAGAAGAACGAGUGUGAGAGUGGAAAGUUCACACUGUGACGGUAUCUUACCAGAAAGGGACGGCUAACUACGUG